GGGUGUGUAGCUCAGUUGGUAGAGCAGCGGCCUUUUAAGCCGUUGGCCGAAGGUUCGAAUCCUUCCACACUCA
rnacentral:tRNA from 2 species